rnacentral:lncRNA from 1 species
UGGAUGCUGUGUGGAGAAAACACUGAAAAGAAUUCUAGAGUGAAAGUUUCAUGAAUAUAAGAAGCAAGACAAGGAAGUGGCUUAUGCUUAAGGCCUUAAAGGCAACCACUGUGACAAUCCAGCCAUUCUCUGGAGAAUUCAGCAGAAAGCCAGUUGGAAUCUGUUUCCUUCUUCUCCAUUCCACAUAUUAUAAUGUGGCAACUACAUAACUCAUAAUUAUAGUCUUUAUAGGGGGAGAAUAAUUGACUCCAUUCAAGUGUUCGCUCCUGUUUCAAUCAACUAUGGCUGAAGAGUGAGGAGACAUUUGGAAUAAAUAUGGCUUCUGGGGGCCCAUUCCUAUGGAUCAGCAGCUGGCUUCUGGAGGCCCAUUCCUGUGAAUCGUCGAUCUCAUAGAAGAUAAUAUUGUUAGAAGGCUUACCUCAUUGAUGCUGAACAUCCUAAAAAGCUUCUGCUGCUUUGAGUCACUGAAAAAGACCAAGAAACAUGAAUUUAAAAAAAAAUUUCAAAUGUUAUAAAAUAAAUAAUAUGAACUCAUUAUACCUACAAUGAAUAAUUUAAAUUCUUCUUUGGUAGUCCAGGUUUAGAAACUAUGAAAACCCUAGAAGAAAACCUAGGCAAUGCCAUUCAGGACAUAGGCACGGACAAAGAUUUCAUGACGAAGACGCCAAAAACAACUGCAACAAAAGCAAAAAUUGACAGAUGGGAUCUCAUUAAACUAAAGAGCUUCCAUACAGCAAAAGAAGCUACCAUGAGAGUGAACAGACAACCUAUAGAAAGGGAGAAAAAUUUUGCAAUCUGUUCAUCUGACAAAGGUCUAAUAUCCAGCAUCUACAAGGAACUUAAAUAAAUUUACAAGAAAAAAACAAACCCAUUAGAAAAUGGGCAAAGGACAUGAAAAGAUACUUCUCAAAAGACAUACAUGUGGCCAACAAUCAUACAAAAAAAACCUCAACAUCACUGAUGAUUAGAAAAAUGCUAAUCAAAACCACAACGAGAUACCAUCUCAUACCUGUCAGAAUGGCUAUUAAUAAAAAGUUAAAAAACAACA